rnacentral:rRNA from 1 species
UACGUAGGGGGCAAGCGUUGUCCGGAUUUAUUGGGCGUAAAGAGCUCGUAGGUGGUUCGGUAAGUCGGAUGUGAAAUCUCCAGGCUCAACCUGGAGGGGUCAUUCGAUACUGCCGUGACUAGAGUUCGGUAGGGGAGUGUGGAAUUCCUGGUGGAGCGGUGAAAUGCGCAGAUAUCAGGAGGAACACCCGUAGCGAAGGCGGCACUCUGGGCCGAUACUGACACUGAGAGACGAAAGCUAGGGGAGCAAAUGGG